rnacentral:rRNA from 1 species
UAAAAAAUUUGGCGGUAUUUUAGUCUAUUCAGAGGAACCUGUUCUUUAAUCGAUAAUCCACGAUGGACCUUACUUAAGUUUGUAAUCAGUUUAUAUACCGUCGUUAUUAGAAUAUUUUAUUAGAAUGUUAAUUUUCAGGAUUUUAUAAAAGAAAAUAUAUCAGAUCAAGGUGUAGCUAAUAUUUAAGUAGAAAUGGGUUACAAUAAAAUUAUUUAUAUGAAUAUAAAUUUGAAAUAUUUAUUGAAGGUGGAUUUGAUAGUAAAAUUAUAAAGAUUAAUAAUUUGAUUUUAGCUCUAAAAUAUGCACACAUCGCCCGUCACUCUUUUUAUUAAGGAAAGAUAAGUCGUAACAUAGUAGAUGUACUGGAAAGUGUAUCUAGAAUGCAAUUUAAAGCUUAUUCAGUAAAGUAUUUCAUUUACAUUGAAAAGAUUUUUGUGCAAAUCAAUAUAAAUUGAGUAAAUUUUAUUUAUUUGUAUAUUAAAGUUUUUAAAAUUAAUUAUUAAAAAUAAUUAUAGGAUGAAUUGUUUUAGUAUUUAAUAAGGAAAAAAUAAUAUUAAUUAUAGCAUAAUAGUAUUGUGAAAGAAAAUUGAAAUAAUUUGAAAAAUUAUUAUUUUAAAGAAAUUUAA